rnacentral:rRNA from 1 species
GUGCCAGCAGCCGCGGUAAUACGUAGGGCGCAAGCGUUGUCCGGAAUUAUUGGGCGUAAAGAGCUCGUAGGCGGUUUGUCGCGUCUGCUGUGAAAACGCAAGGCUUAACUUUGCGCCUGCAGUGGGUACGGGCAGACUAGAGUGCGGUAGGGGAGACUGGAAUUCCUGGUGUAGGGGUGGAAUGCGCAGAUAUCAGGAGGAACACCGAUGGCGAAGGCAGGUCUCUGGGCCGUUACUGACGCUGAGGAGCGAAAGCAUGGGGAGCGAACAGGAUUAGAUAC